UUGGGCACCACUAGGCGCCGGCGCACCGGCUGAAACUUUCGGCCGGUCCAGCCAUAGCCGCUCGAUGCGAGCCGCGCGGCGGUUGGAUCUGGAGCCAAAAAAAAUAAAAAAUCGCCCCAGCUUCUUCUUCCUCGGGCCCGUGGCGCAUCUCCGGCGAGAUCCCCUGCGGCUCGCAGCACGGCGCAUCUCCGGUGAGAUCCCCCGCGGCUCGCAGCACCGCGCAACUCCAGCAAAGGCCCCCGCGGCACAUCUCCGGUGAGGCCCAGCUCCAGCCCCGCGGCGCAUCUCCGGCGAGGCCCAGCUCCAGCAACGCCCCCGCGGCGCAUCUCCGGCGAGGCCCCCCGCGGCUCGCGGAGCCUCACGUCACCGGCCGCAGCACCCGUUGUAGAGCUCGUGUUGUUCCUCAUCCUUAAUUUGCCAGUCGCAGCAAAAAAUUCCACCGGCCGUAGCAAAAAUUCUUGACGGUUCCAGCAAAUAAUAAAACGUUGGUAGCAAAAUUAGAAAAAAUCGACGACACUCCAACAAACCAAAAACCUGAUGGUAGCAAAAAUUGAAGCUUGUUCCAGCAAAUCGAAACGCUAGUGGUAGCAAAAAUAAAAAAUCGAGCGCUGGUUCCAGAAAAAUCAAAGAAGUCGGUGGUAGCAAAAAUUGACACUGGUUGCAGCAAAACACAAAACGGUUGUAGCAAAAAUAACUUGUGGUCCAGCUAGGGGCUUCUCCAGUAGUAGCAAAAAAUGUAGAAGGUUGUAGCAAAAACAGUACAAGGUUGUAGCAAAACACACAAGCGCAGGGUCUCGACAAUUCUCAUGAAAAAGGAUGUAACAAACGACAGUGCCGGUAGUAGCAAAAAACCAAAACUGUUGUAGCAAAAAAGUGAUACAAAAAUGAUUCCAGCAAAAAGACAUGGCAGCAAAAUUUGGUUAGUUCCAGCAAAAAACAAAGACGAUGGUAACAAAUUAGUACACUGGUUCCAGCAAAAACAAACAUGGAAGCAAAUCUGGAGUUGUAGUAACAUGCCUCGAGCUCGUAGCCAUGGCCGCCCUGGCCUGUGAGCUCGCAGACCAUGGCCCCCUGUCGUAAUAGCGCCGGUGCUCAGCCCCGUCGCGUUCGGCCAUGGCGAUGGCAUCCCUUGCAGCAGCAACAACUCCCGCGGCGCCGCGCUUCGUGGGUGAGGGCGCCCCGUGCAGCAACUCUACAGCAAUGGCGUCUGAGAAAAAAUAGAUAGGCAGAAGCAGCGGCGUGGGAAAUC
rnacentral:rRNA from 1 species